ACCAAAAUGGUCAGUUGACCCCUUAAGGAGUUAUUGCCCUUUACAGUCAAUUUUUAAUAAUUUUCAUAAAUUUGGUAAAUUUUGUAAAUUUAACAAAAUAUUUUUCUUAACAAUGGGGCCAAGUUCAUUAUAAAUAGAGAUAAUUGUAAGAAGCAAGAAUGUUCAGUAAAUUAAGAUCUACAAACAUAUCACCAUCACCAAAACACAAUUUUGGCAUUAAUCCAUC
rnacentral:lncRNA from 1 species